AUGGCGGCGGCGGCGGCGGAGGAGGAGGGGGAAGAAAACCUGAUGCCGCAAGAGGAGGGGAUGGUGGCGCUGCGUAGUCAGGAGGGCGUGGAUUUCGUGGUUCCCUCAGAGGAGGCGAGGCUGUCCAUGUUCUUACAUCGUAGGAUCGAGCUUGACCCCGACAACUACUUCGUCCCCGCCGACGGCGACGAGACCAAGUACACCCCCAUCUUGCUCCGCUCCAUCCGAGCCGAGGUCCUAUCCAAGGUUUUGGAGUACUGCAAACAGUCCUAUGCCUCCUGCCGCUGGGACGGCGCCCACCAUCUCAACCACAAUGAGACGCUCUAUGAUCUCAUCCUGGCUUCGGACUAUCUUGAAGUCCAUCGACUCCUUGACCUAUCGUGCCAGACCCUUGCCAAUAAGAUCAAGGGGAAGUCACCCCGUGAGAUAGGUAAUAUCCUCAACAUCACGGGUGUCUUUGCUCCCGAAUUAAAUGAAGAGCAUUCAAGUAGGUGUUGCACUACCAACAUGGUUACAGCGGCCAUGGAAGUCAUCUCCAAGAAGAAGCCAUCUGUGAACCAAGAGCUCAAAUUGGCGGAGAAGGCGUUGCAGGCUCUUGACGUAGUUCGUCGCCAAGAGUUCACCGCAUACGACCCCGUGCUCAGGCGUCUUAAACGCAAUCGAGUUGACAUCUUCAACCUAGCCUUCUUUGACAUUUAUAAAGAGAGUGAGUAUUUUGCUAGCUUUUCUCGUGGUCCACAACUUCACAAGAUAACACCAAUGCAUGAGUCAGUUGUGCGAUCUUGUGUCAAUGUAAUUUACAUUAAGGUACGCGAAUCGGACGUCGGCUUUCCAAUCAACAUAUUUGGUACCAUUAUUGCAAGGGAUCAAGUCGACUAUAGAUGUGUCUAUCUGUUUAGGCGUGAAAUGGAUGAUCCCCAAUUCAUCAGCUCGGCGGAUGAUAUGUUAUCUUUAAUGGAUCCAUGCCGAGGGCUUGUUCCGGAAGAUAAAGUUUAUUUUGAGGUCGAUUUAAAGAUCAAGUGUGAUGGAGGCAUGAUUAAAGAUUUUAGCAAAGGUGUGGGAGUUUUUGAUUGGAUCCGGCUCUAUCCAGGCAAGGAGAGAUUGACUUUCGGUGUAUAUAGUCAUAUAAGCACCGUGGAAUUUUUAUGUGAGCAAGUUUACAGUCCCGUGGAAGCUACCAUUGCAAUCAAUAUUUUGAAAGGGUCGUGCAGUAUCUCAAGAGUAGUUGCUUCGACUCCUGGAAACUUUAAGGACCAUAUCAUUCUAUACGAAGCAGCAUGCAGCCCGAUAGUAAUCGAAAGUGGUGGCUCUGUUCCUUUAACUCGUCGCGUGGUAGCUGUCUCACUGGAUCACAAGUUGGCGCUCUUCAUUGUUGGUGGUGACGUGCUUGAACACCUUGCCCUCACUCUAGGUCAUUCUCAUGAAGUGGUCAAUCGGAGGAUGGGUUGCGCCGAAUUGGAGGUGAAAGUUGCUUGGACAUCCGUCCCGGUAAGAGAGAGACCUGAUAUGUUUAAGGUUGUCGGAAAUACGCGGCUCUUGUUGUGA
rnacentral:rRNA from 1 species